GCGAGCCACAUGCAGGGAAACUUGCACGUGUGGUUCUGGCCUUAUUUUGAGAUUUUUUGGUUUUCGUUCAAUGAGAAAAUACCAGUUUAUUAAUCUAUUUAUUUUGAUUCUUAUUUUAU
rnacentral:ncRNA from 1 species